AUACGAAGGGGGCUAGCGUUGUUCGGAAUUACUGGGCGUAAAGCGCGCGUAGGCGGAUUGGUCAGUUAGGGGUGAAAUCCCAGGGCUUAACCCUGGAACUGCCUCUAAUACUGCCAGUCUUGAGUUCGGGAGAGGUGAGUGGAAUUCCUAGUGUAGAGGUGAAAUUCGUAGAUAUUAGGAAGAACACCAGUGGCGAAGGCGGCUCACUGGCCCGAUACUGACGCUGAGGCGCGAAAGCGUGGGGAGCAAACAGGAUUAGAUACCCGAGUAGUCC
rnacentral:rRNA from 1 species